GGUGCCGUAGCCAAGUGGUAAGGCAGAGCUCUGCAAAAGCUCUAUUCAUCAGUUCGAGUCUGAUCGGCACCU
rnacentral:tRNA from 1 species